CAUAAGACAGAGCAUGUCCCAUUGGACUCAUGUUUCUGUCCCCCUGAUGAAUGGAAGGCCUUAAUUCACUGGCCUUUUAGAUCUGUUUUGAUCUUGGUCUCCUGAUAAACACAACAUUAUCUGUGUAUGUAGCUCUCUCAAUGUUUAAUUUAUUAUUAUUAGAUAUAUAUAAUUAGCAACUACCCAUUAACUUUGCAGCUCUUUGCUGUUUUAUGCUGGGCCUGUUAGCUGGAAAUGACUGAAUUCAGUUUUAUAUCUGUUUAUCCAUUUAUAUUUGUGUAUUUGUGACAACAGUGAGACUUGUACAGUAUAUUGUUGUGGCUCAGUUCCAUCAUGUUUCCAGUGAGCAGGCAUGCGCAACAGCAGAAGCCCCACCUAAAUGGAAUGCAGCCUUCGGUAAAUAAUAUUAUUGAUUACACCUGUGCUUGUCCAGCUAGGACACAUCAAAAUAUCUGCUAAUGAAAAACCUCUAUGAGCUAAAAUCUGCAAAGAGCUGAAUAGCUGGUAAUGAAUUAGACUGAAAUUGGGCUUGUUGUCAUUAUGUGUUUUUUUUAUAUAUAAACUCAUGAAAAGGUAAGCCCAUUAAGUAUCAGAAAUGCACGUUACAACGUGUCACAAUCCAAACUUAAGUCUUAAAAUUGCUUAUUUAAUUUAACCAACAGUCAUGGCAGUUGAUCCGUAGUCUGUUGAUCAAUUGGUCAAUUGAUUAACCACCUUCACUAACUGUCAGUGCCAUUUGUUUUCCUGCUUGUCAAAGUAAACUUUUUGCUUUUGUGGGCAGGGACAAUUUCAUGCUUUUAUUUUGAAGCUACACUCGCUUGUUUCCGGUCUUGUGUGCGUUGUCUCCGGACAACUUGACUCAGCUCCUUCUGUGAUGCUUUGAGUGCUCGCGUCGCUGCGCGGGGGUGUAGUGGAGGCGCACCGCACAUCUGGACUGCGGAACAACCGGAAAAUCGCACUUUUUGAGAAGACGAAUUUGUGCGUGUCUCUUCUCUGUUCCUAAUGACUUCCCACAUGACAGCAGAAUAUAACAUAGGCUUAUUAUUAUUAUUAUUAUUGUUGUUGUUGUUGUUGUUAUUUCAGAAAAGCCUUUUUUUAGUCAUUGAGGUCAUGCUCUCACCUCAGUGCCUAAAAGUAUUCACCUUCCUUGUCUGACUUGGCCUAAAUAUUCAUGACAUGAAAUCUUGGGCCAGAAAGUGGCAGUGUCUGCCUCCUCUGGGGUUGUACGUGCACCCCUGCUGACUGAGGAUAAAUACUGUGACAACACUGCCCCCCCCCCCCCCCCCCCCCCCCAACCCACCCCUUCCAGCUGAAUAGCUACACAAGGUGAAUGGGCUGCCCAAAGAUCUACUCAUGUGGAGACAAACGAGCUCUUAGUGGGAGUUUCAUUUUCACAGUUGCUGCAGGAGACUGUCAGCCACAAAAACAGCUGCAUGCACAACACAGCACUGAAGGCACAGUGGAGCUGUUUCACCCGCCAUUCAGGAAAGUGUAAUUUGGUUGUAAAGUAACCAUGGUAACAUAGAAAAAGAGGUGACUCCAGGGCAGGUGGAGGGAAGGAGUCUGUGUGCAGGAUUAUUCUCUUAUUGCUGAAUAAGCCUCCCGGUGGGGGACUCAAGGCUGAUUCUGUAACAGUGAGGAAAACCACAUGUUGUGGUGGAUUUCUGUAUCCAGCUGUCCUUUGCCAGAUGUUAUUAAUGCUCAUCUUAUGCAAACACGCUGCCGUUACAUUAGCUGCAGAGCAAGUAGCAGCAUCUUUCACUUCACAAUAUCAGUGAAACCUGAAAGUCUGCCCUGUGUUUUCUUUUCUUUUCGCACCACUAAACCACAGUUUUCAGCCACUUUGACAGACCAUAAUAUUAUUUGUGUCAUAUAGAAGGUUGUUGGAACAGUAACAGAUGUAGGAGUGAAUGCCUGUGAAGUUCAUUACUGAGGCCAGUGACAUUUGGGCUAUUCUUUGAUCAGUAGUAACCCCUUUACAUGUAGAAGGAAGUAGCAGUUUAGCAUUUGCUCAAAAUACCCUGAAGUGUGCUCUUCCCCAGGGCAUUGCAGCAUUUUUGUGUCUGCAACAACAGCCGACUUUGUUCUCUGUCCCAAACCACUAUGUUAACACAGUUCAGGUCCACUAAUAAAAAUAUAUCUAUACAAAAGCCAUAUAUUUAUUACAUUCUGAUUAAAUAAAAAAAAAGGCAAUUGAAUACCCACAGAGAUAUGGGUAGAAAAGAUUCAGGAGUUGACUCACAGGUUUUAUUAAAAUUCUGUGGUGGGAUUCAUACAUAAAAGGUAAUGUAACAUGAUGGCUUGAUGUAUUCUCCACGGGGGGAUUGACACUGACAGUAGGGGUAAAUUACCUGUUGAAAUGAAUAACCAGCAAACAUAGUGAGGGGGGUGUAAGUUUCACUUUUAUACUGUAAAAUUAUCUCACAUCAGUAAUGGAUCUUGAGACUACUUUUCUACUUGAUACCAACUCUCUGCAAAAAACUUUAACAUGGGGAACUUUCUUUUGUUCAGAAUCAAUCAUUUUAUCAUAACCAAUGCCCAGUAAAGGUAAACUUAAAAUAACUAGUUCAGUGCUCAGGUUGGAAACUUGUCUGAUGAGUCAUAAAGUUUGAUAUAACAGCUCAAAUUCAGCUCCGGUCAGCAGCUCUCUAUUUUCAGAAAGAGCUCUUACAGGAAAUCUUCUGGUUUCAGCUUUUUGGUUUCCCAGUUCCAUUAUUUCAACAAAAGGGAACUUCAUUACUGCAAGCGUGAGGCGUUGAAGAGAAACUACAUGACUUCACUCUCAACUCAGACCUUGACCUACAACGAUGAACUCUUCUUCUGUCCCGACUAACAGCACAAAUGCUGGCAGCUCCCCAGGUUCUUCAGGUGUGGCUGUGGGGGUGACACUCUUCUUUCUGCUUGUUGUGGUUGUAGCCGGUGUGAUUGGAUACAAAUACCAAGGUAAAAUCAGAAAUAUGGUGCAGUCUGGACGAAGAAGAAGCCAGAGGAAGAAAGAGGACUAUUCAGAGACGACACAAACUGAUACCCAUCAGUAUACCAGUAUGAUCAGGGAACCGUCAACAGGACACACCCCUAUCUAUGAAAACCUGACAACUCAAACUCAAAGGCCUGCAGAAAACCAGAGCAGGUCGCCUAGUGAACCUGAAGAGGAUUUCUACUUGCAGUGUGAUUUACCAGAUGAGGCAAUAUACAGCAAUGACCCGAAUUGUAACCUUGCCAUCCUCCCCAGCUCCCAAGAAGAGGACGUGUACAUUAUGCCAGAUUCAUGAUAGAAAAAAAAAAAAAAAAUUUGUAUUAAUGUCUGAAUAUUUUUACUCGAUGUAUGCUCUGAGCCACGGUCGCUGGCUCGCGCUGUAAAUGUAUACUGUCCCACAUUAAAAAUAUGAGCUAUAGCUGACCUAUAAAAAAAAUAUCAUCUGUAGGCCAUGAAUACUCAGUAUAAGUGUACCACCACGCACAGUAUAUUUUACACUUAUGUUUUAUUAUUGUGCAUUACAUGUGAUUUUAGGGAAUCAUUGCACAAGUUGUUAUACAUGUUAUAGUAGCUCAAGAUUUUGGAGAAAGAAUACUGUAGCAUGGGGGGGUGGGGUGGGCGCAAUAUGACUGUUUCAAAUUAUGACUGUAGUGGACGCACUGUACAAGUUAAGACAUUUUGUCAUCAGUCCAACGCAAUUGAUACGCUGAUUAGAGCUGAUUGUUUUUUUUUAGGGUUUCUCAUGAAUUGUCUCAACUUACUGAUGAAUCACUUUCAUCUUGGCCUUUAGAAAAGAGAAGUGUGGGCAGUUGGUUCACAGUUGUGUGGUAAAGUCAUGCAUAUAUUCUUUUUUCUCUUUUUUUUAUAUCGUCACUUCUGCAUUUGGCCUUCGAUUAGAUUUUGAAACAUUUCAGUGGCAGACAAAAGGAACUUUUGGCCGUAGGUUUUGUAAUUUUCUCUGUAUUCCACGUAGUUAACGAACACAAAAUACUUGAAACAACAUUUUUUUUACGUCAAAUUACCAAGGGGAGGGUAUGUGAAAAUGAAAAUAAGUUGUGCAGAGUUUGUCAUAACAGGCCACUGUUCACAGCAGCUGCAUCACUGACACAAAAAUUCUGUUUGAACAUUUAAAUUUAUUCUGCUCAGUGUUGUCACCAUGAAAAGUUGUUAUCAACGGCCACAACAUGAAACAUGUAAACCUGUUAAAAAUAAAAAGAAUGAAAGUCAUGAAUCUAGUUUUUAUAAUUUAGGAGAUUUUAUUAUUCAGAUUCAGGCCAAAUUAUUAAGAUACGUUUAUGAAGACGAGACACAAAGAACAAUACACUGAUCAAAACAAAAAAACAACAAUAUUAACUGUCUCUCCUUCAAAUUAUAAGCCAGCAUUUCUGUCAUAUUAGGUUUUAGAACAAGAAAUGAGAAAAGUAUAAUUUACUUGCCCACUAUCUGUCAAAUGAUGCAAAUGCUGACAGUAUUUACAUUACAAAAAGUACUGUUUUUCUAAAAUAGGUGCAGAAAACCCAUAAAGAUAAAAACAUGGCGAUUUCACACACACACACACUCGUGCGUGCGCAUGCGUGUUUAACAAGCUCACCAUCAAAUCUAGCAAAAUAAAGUAAAAAAAAAUGCAAAGGUCAGCAACACAUUGACAAACACAGAGAGGAUGUGAAAAUCUUUCUGACCAUGUUGCUGAACUAAACAGAUAAAACAGAAAAAGUGAAAAGAAAAAAAAAAUCUUGAGGCUUUGUCAAAAAGUUGCAGACUAAUGCGAAAGACAGGUUUGUGCAUCUUUGGACAGAUAAUGACUGAGGGUUCACGCACCAUCAUUUCUUUGCUUUUAUUUUUGUUUCCUGUUAUCUAAUAACUGGAGGCUAAUGAGUUCAUACUGUACAUCUCAGAUUACACACGGAAGGAUUUGAUAAAUACUGUCCCUAAUUAUUUCAUACUUGUAUACUCUGGGUGGAACUGAAACUCAGGACCUUUUCAGAGUCUAAGAUUGAGGACCUUUUCAUACAAUCACAGCUGUGUAAUGACUGAGGAUGUCAUCCUUAAAACAAAGAGCAACAGAACCAAAACAAAGGAAUAAAUGAGCAGUUAAUGGGCACAGGCCUACAUUUACCAUAAGUGUGAUUACAGUUAGCAUUUGUGUCUCCAGCUCUGAUUAAUCACCUCUUAAUUCAUCUGCCUAUUUAUUCAGUCGUCCAGGGUCACUCAACAUGCCCGACCCCUUAAUACGUUCACUUUAUUAAUUAUGAAACAACAUAUGCUCCCGUUUAAGUGACCUUUACUCAUUCAGAGAUAAAAAACUACUAAAUACUCAUUGGGGUGGUGGUGCAACUUCUUGGAAUAACCCAACAAUAAAUAUUUCAGAGGAGUUUGCUACUGAUUUCAGCUCACUGAUGUUCACUUACAGUGGUCACAGGUCACAGUGCUCUUUUCUUUUUUUUUUUUUGCACUCUGGCAUCUUUUCUAACAUGAAAUAUUUUUUCUUGUCUCGGCAUCACACUUAUCUUAGGAUAUCUCACAUGUUUAUUUGUUUUUUUUUUCUAAUGACUUAUCUCGACAGCACAUAAAAGCAAAUAUUACAGACCAGAGCUCUGAUAAUCUGCAAUAAAAAAUUUCGGGCAACGUCAUUGAUGUUUAAUCAAAACACUCUCAAGUUUACACAGCAGGCAGCUUUUCCUUUUUCCCUGCCAAAUUUAAAUGAAUAAAUGUAUUAGUUUUAACCCUUAACAUACAGGUCAAGGGCACAAUGAACACAACUUCAAGGUCAAUUAUGGGAGAUAGAAGUUGUCAUAUCUUUACGUGCUGAUUUCUCUGCCACACCCUGACCCUUUCUAAUCUACAGUGGUGAAAGUACUUCUGUGAAUAAAUGACAAAUGUGCGAAAA